AUCUGAGUCUGGCUUCCCACAUCUGAAACCAUGUGCACCUUCUCCAAAACGUUAUCAUUCCUAAGCUUUUACUAUAAGGGGUAUAAUUUUUCAUAAGUUACAAUGACACUAUUAACUACUACUGAAAGCAAAUUAGUAAGUAGUACUUGUCCAAAUUGACCAUUGAAUUCACCAAUAAUCGAAGAAAGAACUUUUUUGCAGGUUAAAAAAUAAUUCCACAAGACACAACCACCUGUUGAUUUAUCAUUGACUAAAAUGUGACUUCUAACACUUCAACAAUCUUCAUUAAUAUUUAAGAUUUACAGGCCAAGGCCAUUAUACCGAAAAGAUCUCCCUUUCGUACCACAAUGGCAGAAAAAUCAAAAGCCAAAAUCCAACACUCCAAAAUACAUGAACUCUCCAUAAACAAACCUAGCAGUAGUCAUAAAGACCAAUAUCAUCACUAACAACUACAAAUAAAUCCUGAGAAUUGCAGAAGCUUUAAACUUCAACCUAAUUGUCAAUGCUAAACAAAAUCCAGUAGGGAGAGCAAAGUUCAAAUCUCAACAUUUUGUUGGGAACCUACUAUACAAUUGUCAACUAUUUUGACACCCUUUUUCAUUUGAGAUAAUCAGCUGCAGCUCUAGCUUCCAUCUUCAUAGGCAUUGGUGCCGAAGGCAAGAAACUCUCACUUUCAUUCUCAUUGUCAUCCUUAUCUCUAACAUUCCUGGCAUUAUAACCAUUAUCUUUUCUUGAAAAGUAUUAAUUAUCACUACUUCCACAAUACUGGCCUCUAUCUUCCUCCUCGUCAACUUCAAUGUCACCUUGGAUAAAGUUCCAAAUUUUCAACUCUUCUGCUAAGGUUUUCCAUCAGCUCUAUCUCUACAUCAAAUGAAUCUUGCCCAUUCACAUUCUCUACAAAGCUCGUAGAUUUCUUUUGUUUUUGUUUAAGACAUGGUUGAUGCUAUUUUUGAAAAAUAGCUUAUGUGGCAAAAAGAUGGAUAGAAGUAUAAAAUUUGGCUAAGACCCCGCAAAGCCAAGAAUCUAACACAUAUGUGACUUGCCUACAUAUCACACCCUGAAAGAAGAGAAUCAAGUUUGUAUAGUUCGUGCAGAUUGGAUACGGGCGAGAAUUAAAAUAAUAACUAAUUUAGAAAAAACACAUCUUUUGUCUUUUGUUUUGAAAAAUGAUGAAUCAUGCAAAAUAUUUUUGGAUUUUCCUUUUUCCCUUUUUUUUAAUCUUUGAUUUUCGGAAAAAGAUCAAAAGGUGAAAUGUUUUAGAAUUUUUCAAGCUCUAUUUUUUUCCUUAACAAAAUGUGACAGAAAACGUAAUUUGGCCCAAUUUGCAUUAUCUUCACACUUCACUCUCUCUUUUUUUCUUCCUUUUUUCUUUAUUUUUUUAUUUUUUCAUUUACCCACCAGCUAUCAUUAGUCCAUCAAAUGACCCUUUUGCCGUUGAAUACAUGCAACAUGUAGCCUAUAAGAUGCAUCCGGAUGGUCUUCUUUUUUGUGUACCUGUUCUAGACGGACCCAACCCCUGCGUUGAGUCCCACAAAAUGCAGAUGAAGCAAACAUACGUUCCUACUAGGGAUCCGGCAUGAGGCGGAGUUAUUCUAUGCGCAAAACCUGUGUAUGUGUUCUAGACUGCAUACUCGAGCGGACAACUCGAGCCGAGGAGUGGGCUACGUACCGGGAAUUAUAAGACCAUCCACCUUAGUAACUUGUCAGAGCCUCUUUCUUAUUUUAAUGUAUGAAACUAAUAGAAUAAAGAGUCUCGACCAGCGAGUACAUCCCCGAAUAGGGAACAGAAAGGUUUCUUAGCAAUUUAUAUAUACAGUUCAGGUAAUAUCAAUGCGAUAAAAAAAGCAACAUUUAGCACAUCAGUCUCAAACGUGUAAUAAAAUCAGAUAUUAAACAAAGUCAAAUACAAAAAUUAUUCCAAGCUCAAAUUCUUGAACCUUGAACCAGAGAUUUUGGGUUCGGUCCCUAGCUGAGUCACCAGAACUGUCACACCUCCUUUUUUACACUGCACUCUCUGAAGGGCGUAGAAAAGGGAGUCUUUCCAAUUACAGGACAAUCGAAACGAGAUUUAUUUAUUGAAAGAUUCAGAUUAGCCAAUUGGGACGAUUAAUGGUGUCCCAAGUCACCGGUUUAAAAUGUCGAAUCGAGGAAGGGGUUGACUCUGUAUUACAGUCCACGAACUAGAAAUCCAGGUAAGAAAUUUUGUUAACCCGGAGAAGGUGUUAGGCACUCAAGAAUUUUGUGAUUCUAGCACGGUCACUCAAUAAUUAUUAUUGGCAUAAUUAUCUAAUUUUAAAACAAAUUUUAACCUAAGUGCAUUUUUUAAAACUUCAACCGCUUUAUUCAUUUUAGGAAUAUUGCAACAUUGUCAAAACAUCUUGUACUAUGUCACAUAAAUGCACAUGCGGUCUUCGACAUAUUUUAACAUUGUUGGGAUUUCGAUUUUGGUCACAUAAAUGCGCAACCGGGUUUAGGAAGGUAAAUUAUUGAAAUAACACAUCUAAAGCAACUAUAAGUUAGCAAUUUUAUGAGGGCCAUAAAAAUUUGCUAAAUGACGCGCCUCGUAUUUUGAGGAUUAAACAAAAUUAAUUAAAAUGAGGCCCUGCUUUAUGAGAUUUUAUUUGAUAUGGCACACCUCGAUUCUAAUUUCAAAGGAUUGUACUCAACUAAAGUAAUCUACGGAAUUUAUGAACUAUUUAAUACCUAAGUUCGAGAUCAAUCACGAAUAUUCAAACAUUAUGGAAAGGGUUUUUGAUGGUCAAUUAAUUAGCCAAAUCAAACUGGGCUUACUAAUAAAAAUGAAAAGGGUACCAAUCUAGCAAUUCUAAAUUUAAAUCAAAUCUUCGCCAAAUUUUUCGAGUUCUUCUGUAUUUUAAUUAGUGACUGCAGAAUCCCAAAAUGAAUAUUUACUCAAAGGUUAAAUUCAACAACUAAUCAAUAAACAAAAUAUUUAUGUCAUGUGCUAAGCUAGAAAAAACAAAUAAUUAAAUCGUUCAAUCAAUAAUUUAACUAAAAAAUACUUGAAUAAUCACAACUUGAGACAAUGAUAACCAUAAGACAAUAUCACAAUGAUAUUCUGAAAAAAUAAUUUUUCUAAAUCACGUUCCUUCUUUGAGGCACUACAGCAAAUAGUUAUUCUAGCAAAUGUGGCUAAUGGAUUUCGAUUCCACUCAUGCCAAACCCUAUAGCUAGCCAUAGAAAUCUGAUCAAUCCCUUUUUAAAGCUAUUGUAUUAAGAUGAGAUAAGAACAAAACAACCUUUUGUAGAUGCAUCUGAGCUUUGAUUCCUUAAAAGAAUUUGAAGUUAAAACACAAAAAAAAUGCGUACUAGACCUCAGCGGAAACUCUACCACACGACCUCGAACUCGGCUACAACGGACACCUCGAAUCGAUUCAUUGACUCUGAACUGGGAUGCUCGAGUUCAAAACGAAAUCAAGCUGCUUGCCUCCCUGAAUUCCGAUUGAGGAUGAACUGAAGCUUUGUGUAAGAAGUAGUUCCACAAUCCCUUUUUAUCAAUUCAACAUCAAUGACCCAGUAGCACAGAAAAAUUGAUAAAUGGAAUAAAAUCACACAUGAAAGCAUGCUAACGGAGAAGUGGGGAUCUGUAAACAACAUUUAUAAAGCUAUUGUAUUGAGAUGAGAUAAGAACAAAAGAACCUUUUAUAGAUGCAUCUGAGCUUCGAUUCCUUGAAAAAUUUAGAAGUUAAAACACCAACAAAAUGCGUACAAGACCUCACUAGAAACUCUACCACACCAACUCGAACUUGGCUACGACGGACACCUCGAAUCGAUUCGUUGACUCUGAACUGGGGUGCUCGACUUCAAAAUAAAAUCGAGCGGCUUGCCUCCCUGAAUUCCGAUUGAAGAUGAAUUGAAGCUUUGUGUAACAAGUUGUUCCUAAAUUCAGAUAAUCGAAUGGUAACUGACAGGUUAUGGGGGUUAAUUUUCACCGGCUUUAGGCAAAUCUCGUUGCCGAUGGAGAUGUGACUAGAAAAACGAGGGGGAGAGGAAUUUGAAGAUCAAGGAGGCAGCUGUGUUUGAUUUUUCCGCCUUGUGAUUGUGCGCGUGUUAGUGACGGAGCAGAAUGGGCCGGUUUCGAUGGGGAAGGUCAUGUGUGGGCUGGUUUCCGGUGUGUCCGCUGAAGGGGGUGGUGUGAAGGAGAUGGGUUUCAAGUGGGGUAGGUUCUGUUGCAAAGCUUCUCCCGUCCACCCUUUUUUAGUCGUCUCCUCUUUUUCUUAUAUCUAUAGGUCUAGGGUUUUUUUAAUUAAGAUAAGGAUAAAGGGAAUGAGCUUGGGUUGUGUGGGUUUGGGUAGAGAAAUUGUGGUUUGGACUGGUUCUGGCUUUUAAAAUG
rnacentral:lncRNA from 1 species